rnacentral:rRNA from 1 species
UACGAAGGGGGCUAGCGUUGUUCGGAAUCACUGGGCGUAAAGGGCGCGUAGGCGGCCGAUUAAGUCGGGGGUGAAAGCCUGUGGCUCAACCACAGAAUUGCCUUCGAUACUGAUUGGCUUGAGACCGGAAGAGGUCAGUGGAACUGCGAGUGUAGAGGUGAAAUUCGUAGAUAUUCGGAAGAACACCAGUGGCGAAGGCGACUUACUGGACAUGUAUUGACGCUGAGGUGCGAAAGCGUGGGGAGCAAACAGG